rnacentral:rRNA from 1 species
AUUGAACGCUGGCGGCAGGCCUAACACAUGCAAGUCGAACGAGUGGCGGAAGGGUGAGUAAUUACUGGGAAACUGCCUGAUGGAGGGGGAUAACUACUGGAAACGGUAGCUAAUUCCGCCUACCAUCUGAUGUGCCCAGAUGGGAUUAGCGAGUUGGUGGGGUAACGGCCUACCAAGGGGACGAUCCCUAGCUGGUCUGAGAGGAGGACCAGCCACACUGGAACUGAGACACGGUCCAGACUCCUACGGGAGGCAGCAGUGGGGAAUAUUGCACAAUGGGCGCAAGCCUGAUGCAGCCAUGCCGCGUGUAUGAAGAAGGCCUUCGGGUUGUAAAGUACUUUCGGCGGGGAGGCGUUACCCGCAGAAGAAGCACCGGCUAACUCCGUGCCAGCAGCCGCGGUAAUUC